GACGAACGCUGGCGGCGUGCCUAAUACAUGCAAGUUGAGCGCUGAAGGUUGGUACUUGUACCAACUGGAUGAGCAGCGAACGGGUGAGUAAGGCGUGGGGAAUCUGCCUUUGAGCGGGGGACAACAUUUGGAAACGAAUGCUAAUACCGCAUAAAAACUUUAAACACAAGUUUUAAGUUUGAAAGAUGCAAUUGCAUCACUCAAAGAUGAUCCCGCGUUGUAUUAGCUAGUUGGUGAGGUAAAGGCUCACCAAGGCGAUGAUACAUAGCCGACCUGAGAGGGUGAUCGGCCACAUUGGGACUGAGACACGGCCCAAACUCCUACGGGAGGCAGCAGUAGGGAAUCUUCGGCAAUGGACGAAAGUCUGACCGAGCAACGCCGCGUGAGUGAAGAAGGUUUUCGGAUCGUAAAACUCUGUUGGUAGAGAAGAACGUUGGUGAGAGUGGAAAGCUCAUCAAGUGACGGUAACUACCCAGAAAGGGACGGCUAACUACGUG
rnacentral:rRNA from 1 species